rnacentral:lncRNA from 1 species
AAUGCUUCAAGCUUUGAAUUGCAUAGCAUGUUGUGUGUGUAUUUGUUUAUAGGCAAACUUUAUUGACUCCUGAAAAGUUCAGGACUUUGUCACAGUUCAAGUGUUUAAGAGCAGUAGCUGAACCAGGAGAACCUGUUGGACUACGAGCAGCACAAUCUAUUGGUGAACCUUCCACUCAGAUGACAUUGAAUACAUUUCAUUUUGCUGGUAGAGGAGAAAUGAACGUCACACUAGGGAUACCACGUCUAAGAGAGAUAUUAAUGACUGGUGGUCCUAAUAUUAAAAUUCCAGCAAUGGAUGUACCACUACUACCACUGCCUGAUGCAAAGGAGCAAUGCGUCAUAAAAAUGAUAUCAAAAAAUCUUUUAAUUCAUUUUUGGAGAAUUUGUGAUUACUGUAGAUUAUUCUCAAUUUAAUAUUGUGUGCACACAAUGUUAGUUUUAGACAAUCUUCCUGACUUUAUGGUUUACUGUUAAUUAUUUAUCUGUGUGUAGUUUUUUGGUUAGUUAGUUCUGUGUGUCUGGUCUAUAUUGUUUUGCUGUAAAGUCUCUCUUUUCUCUCUCUCUCUUUAUCUUUUAUCCUCUGUAAUAAUACUUUUACUUCAGUUACAA